rnacentral:rRNA from 1 species
AAAUCUACCUGGUUUCCAGGUCGAGUUGUAAUUUGAAGAUACGUUUUUGACGUUCCGGGUUGAACUAAAUCCUUUGGGAUAAGGUAUCAUGGAGGGUGAGAAUCCCGUAUAUACCAACCGUAGGGAUGUUAUUUAAUACGUUUCUAAGAGUCGAGUUGUUUGGGAAUGCAGCUCUAAAUGGGKGGUAAAUUUCACCUAAUGCUAAAUAUAAGCGAGAGACCGAUAGYGAACAAGUACAGUGAUGGAAAGAUGAAAAGAACUUUGAAAAGAGAGUUAAAUAGUACGUGAAAUUGUUGAAAGGGAAACGAUUGAAGUCAGUCAUGCCGGUGGGAAUCAACUUAGAGGAAACUCUGAGUGCACUUCUUCGCUUGGCAGGUCAACGUCGAUUUUGGAUGUCAUAAAAUGAUUGGGGGAAGGUAGCUCCUUCGGGAGUGUUAUAGCCCUUGGUAGAUGUGAUGUCUGGGAUCGAGGAUUGCAAUGGAUACCCUUUGGGGCUAGCCGCCUGAUCUCUAAUCGGUAUUGGGUUACGGAUAGCAUGCUGACCGUGAUCUAAUUAUUGGUUAAAAGGU